rnacentral:rRNA from 1 species
GACGAACGCUGGCGGCGUGCCUAACACAUGCAAGUCGAACGAAGCUUGACGAACGAUUCUUCGGAUGAAUUCUGAUAUGACUGAGUGGCGGACGGGUGAGUAACGCGUGAGCAACCUGCCCUUCAGAGGGGGAUAGUGUCUGGAAACGGACAGUAAUACCGCAUAAGCGCACAGUACCGCAUGGUACAGUGUGAAAAACUCCGGUGGUGUGAGAUGGACCCGCGUCUGAUUAGCUAGUUGGCAGGGCAACGGCCUACCAAGGCGACGAUCAGUAGCCGACCUGAGAGGGUGACCGGCCACAUUGGGACUGAGACACGGCCCAAACUCCUACGGGAGCAGCAGUGGGGAAUAUUGCACAAUGGGGGAAACCCUGAUGCAGCGACGCCGCGU